GCGUUGUCCCCACGGGCAGUGGCUCGACACGCCCAGCUCCCCCAGGUGGUCCCGGUCGGCAUUGUGGUUUGGAACCUAAGGCAGAACAGUGUGAGCAAGGCUGGAGUGGACGAGGAGUGGGCUCCCUCCAGGUCUGCAGUUUGGAAGGACAGGUGCCACCCUCGCCCAGCUCCCUUGGCCACUCCCUCUGGAAGGUUCUGCUGGGGCUGAUGCCCACGGACACCGCUUGCCUCCCGUGGGUCUGUAGACCAGGUCUGACCCUGCCAAGGCUGUCCGUCCCCCUUCCUGCCUCAUGACCGUCCAUUCCGGUCGCCUCAGGCAGCACCAGGCUCCUCCGGGGGGUCUCAGAGAAGCCCAGGGUCGCUGGGGGCCUCCAGGCGGAGAUCAGAUGCCGGAGGCUGUGGUUGGAGGCUCUUGGCCUCACUGUCACUUGGGAAGAGUUUACGAUGUGUCAUCUCUGGCCCAGACACCUUCAUGUUGGGGUCUGCUGCCGGGUGUGUGGUCCUGUGUGGCCCUGUGACUUCGUGGGUCCUCAGCUGCACUUGCCCUGUAAGGCUGCUACAGCUCACCAGCGCCUCCUGAGCUUUGGUGCCUCCCGGAGAGAGGGGUGCCCUGGGAGGGACGGAGCCUGGCAUGCGGCGUGGCACGCAUGGGGCCGCUCACAGGGCUUCUGUUCCUGAAGCCUGAGGUCCCCGGGGCGUGUCCUCCUUCCGGCCUUUCCCGGGAAGGCACGAGCCGGGGACCCAGGCUUGGUGCCAGGACGGGAAGGGUGGAUCCCGGAGGGCUUAGCGGGGGCGACCGUGGGGGCCGGUGGACCCCCAUGCUCCCCAGGCGACUGGACGUAGGGGGCUAAGGGCUCUUCCUGCGCCCUGAAGGACGGAGCUGGGCAAUGUGAACUUCGUUCUGUUUGAUUUUCACGCUAAUGGCGUUGAGGACAGGAGCAGGUAGGGAGAGGGAGGAAAGCAGGCCGGCCGAGCAUUCGAGGGUCUGGAUAUAAUGCUCAACCUAAAUCUGUGUUUGCACACGCCCCCUGCGAGCAGGGCCGUCCUUCUGUCCCUCACACGGUGCUCGCCGUCCCCACUGUCUUCGCUACCUGGGAGAGCCGUCUCUGUGCAGGUGUGCCCAGGCAUGACCCGCGAACUGUUGUUUUCAGCCGCUUAUCUUCAGCGGUGCUGGCCCGGCACCCGUGCUGCUUUCCAGGGUCAGGCCGUAGCUGAGCCCCUUGUGCAGGGACAGCCUGGGCACCCCGGCUGGCUGAACACAGCCGCGAGCCACGGGGUCCACCCCCACGUAAGUGCUGGAGGCUGCCGUGGCUUUGGAGCAGGACCCAGGCUGUGUUUUCAGGUGAAGGGUGUCCGUGACCCUCGGGGGCUGGGGCACGGCAUCGCCUCCUCUGCCCCGAGGCCGGCUGGCCGAUCUGUGGACAACAGGUGAGGACCAGGUGGGCCGAGGCAGGGUCAGGGGGUGCCUGUUCCUCUGAAGAAAACCGUGUAGAACCAGGCUCUUAGGGCCUACACAGGCCAGACCCAGCGCCCAUGCAGAGAGGGCAGUGGCUCUCAUUUUUACCCUACAGGCGCCCUGGGAACGGCGGGGGUGUCCACGGCGCCCUGCGGGAGGCCUCUGAGCACACCAGGGCAUUGCGACUUUGAGGACCGUGUCAGGAGCCAGGGCCCCCAGCCCCUGGUUUGUGCGGCCCCGUGCUUUGUCUGCUGGGCUUUGCUGGCCGGCCACCAGCUAGGUGCCUAUUGGUCAGGAUCUGACAUCCCGGAUGCAAGGCCCAGCCUGGGACGCCCUGCUUCUGUCGCCCUCCUCCCCGGCGCAGAGCCCUCCCCCACCACCGCGCGGACACCGGACUCUCACUCACAGGGCCUGCUGGUCCCGGGCUCCCUCAGGGGCUCGGGGCUCAGCUGGGGAGCCCUGCGGGGACCCGGGAAUGUGCUGGGGAGGGAGCUGUCCUGACAGAGGUGAGGGGGUGUGCCCGGCGGGUCUGAGAGAACAGGACACCCCCACUUUCACAGGCACCUCUUUACAAGGACCGUGCGUGUGCCGGUGGCAUGCGCUGCGUGUUUUAAACCAGGGUUCCUCUGAGCGUUUGCAAGCCUACCAGGCACCCGGACCCUGUGGGGUUUCUGUGCCCUCCCUCAUCUCUGCCUCCUUCUCACCGGGGCGUCCACAUCAAAAUGUCACAUCCCCUGCCUGCUGCCUGCCCCCGCACGUGCCCAACCUGCCCAGAGGGUCCCUGGGCCCCUCCCUGCCCGUGACCCCCACUCACUUCUGGGCGUGGACCCCAGGAGGCGGGUCGGGACCCCCCUCGCCCACCGGCAGCCCAGGAGGCUUUUCAUCCCCCGGCCCGACUGCUCCUGUGGCCCCACCCGGGCUUGGCGAGAUGGCGGAGCCCGUGGGCUGUGCACCGCCUCCUCCGGGCAGGCCCCCUCUUGCCCCUGGCCCAUCCCGGCCCUGACCUCACCCGUCUGCCUGCGUGUCGGGACAGCCCGUCCGAGCUGGCGGGAGGCUCCCGUGGGCCUGCCGAGGCUUCUGUGCUGCUGCGGGGCUGACUUACUCCCCAGCUGACAGCAUUCCAUUUGGCCCUCGUGAUGCGGGCUUGCUUUCCUGGGACCUGAGUGUCCCGUGAGGGCGGUCGCCCACAGUCCCACCGGGUACUGGGGUCGGAUUUCUGUCGCCCAGCAGACAGUUCACUCUGAUUUGGGGAGCACUGGGCCUGUGGCCGGGUACAGAGGGGGCGAGGCCGCAGGAAUCCGAGGCCUCGGGAUGUAGGCUCACACCUGGGCCAUGAGCUCAGGUCUGACUAAUGAGGCUCAGUGACUCACAGCCCCGGGGCCUCCCAGGCGAGGGCUGCUUCCCAGCACCGUGUUGGGAGCCCAGGACACCAGGUCUCUUGGUCGUGUUCACACCGCCUCCCCCGCGUCCCCCACCCCGUCCCUCCUCGAGUGCCUCUGAGGGUACAUUUCACCCCGUUGCACAAGGUCCGGGCAGUGGCCGUUGGGGCUUGGGGAGCAGGUAGGGGUGAAGUCAUGUGCCUUGCAUGGGCCAUGUGAUGGGGCAGCCUCCGCGAAAAGGGCAGGACAGCCUGUGAGGAAGGCAGGCUGACCUUGGUGCCCCGGGCACUGGUCGUGGCCUGCGAGCAUGGCCCGAGACAGGGAUGGAGGUCAGGAGACUCUACAACACAAGGUGGGCCUUGUGGGUCACGUGCUGUAAAUUCUGUAGGCCGGGGAGCAAAAGAAUCCCUUAACGUUUUUUAUUGGGGUAAAAUGUACAUAGCCCAAAACUAACCGUUUUAUUUGUAUCUUUUAAAGUUUAUUUAUUGAGAGAGAGAGAGAGAAUGAGCAAGGGAGGGGCAGAGAGAGAAGGAGAGAGAGAGAGAGAGAGAGGGAGAGAGAGAGAGAGAGAGAGAGAGAGAGAGAGAGAGAAUUCCAAGCAGGCUCCACGCUCCGAGCUGAGCCUGACUUGGGGCUCAAUUUCACAACUGUGAGGUCAUGACCUGAGCCAAAAUCAAGAAGACACCUAACCGACAGAGCACCCAGGUGCCCCAAGACUAACCAUUUUAAAGUGAACGAUUCGGGAACAUUUGCUCCACUCACAAUGUCAUGCAACUGUCACGUGUCUGGUUCUGGAACACUCAUCGGGGAGGCCCUCGUCCAUCGGCAGGGCACCCCCGUGCCCUUGCCCCAGGCCCGGCCACCACAGCCCCUUUCUGUCUGUGGGUUUGCCCGCUGUGGGCAUGUUGUGUGCCUGAACUCCUGCGGUCCUCGUCCUGUGGCGCCCGGCUUCUCUUACCCAGCACGGCGUUUUCCAGGUCCUUCCAGGUCCUUCCAUGUUGUAGUGUGGGCCAGUUCUGCAUCCCUUGUGAUGGCUGCAUAGUAUCGCCCUGUGGAUUCUUUAGCCUCUACAUUUUUCAUGGAAGUGAAACGUCUCUGGACCGAGGAUGCUGGCUUUCCUUAAAAACGGCGAGGGCAGUAUCUGCAAACCCUCCUUCGCGUGUCCUGUGGGAAAGUGUGUGGGCAGCCUCCCCGCCAGCAGCCUCUGCCAGCACCGAAGGCGCGGCCGGGAGGUGAGGACGGUGAGACCUGGUUCUCCCUGGCUGGCCCUCGCAGAGCUCAGCAGGGAGGGCGGGGGGGAGGGGACGCGCUGCUGGCUGGGAGGGGAGACGUGUGCGCCAGAGGCGGGACACAGCCACUGCCCGAAGACCCCGCACGCUGGGCAGGGCGUUCACGUGGGGCUGUUCCUUCAUCCGUGUGCAGAGGGCUCCGCCGGUUAGGGCUGCGUCCCAGGAAGGCCGGUUCCGGGGUCCCCUCUCUCCCGGUCUCCCCUCUCCGUGGUCCCGCAGCGGGGCUGGAGUCAGCAUACGGUUUCAAAUUCUGAGCGGUGCCCAGGCCGGGAGCAGAGGACCCACAGACGUGGAAAAGCCCCUGUGCCUGAGAGCAGGUGGGGGCAGGAGGGGGCAGCCGGGGCCGCGGGCCCUUGCGCAUAGUUGCCGUCGAUGGCUGUCUGGCUGGCGGUUCCUGCGAAUGGCCAGAGGCUGCGGGGUGCCUUUCUUCCUACUACUCCGUCCCCCACCAUCGGGGUCUCUCUGCCUGGUCUCCGCAUCCCCUGUGUGAGUCUCAGCCGUGUCCCUCCCCACCUCCCGGGCCCGUCUACUCCUGGGCCUGGCUCUCUGGUCCUGCGAAGGGCUCCCGCCUGCCCUGCUCGAGCUCCCAUGCUGCGUCAGGGGGCCCAGAAGCAGCAUCAUG